rnacentral:lncRNA from 1 species
UGAAGGUUAUAACAAUCAUAAUGUUUCAUUCAAUAAAGUAAAUAAGUCAUAGUUCUUGAGUUGAAUCUAUAGGUUAUUAGUUCUCCAUUACUUUAGCAUCACAAAUGUACAAAAGUACCAAAUAUGAAUAGAGGUAGAUUGCUAUCUUUUCUAUAUCUUAUUUUUUUAUAGCAAAGAUUUGUUAUUCUUUAUCUUAAUUUUGAAGGAUGUCGUCAAUGAAAAGC